rnacentral:lncRNA from 1 species
AAUUAUUGGGACUAGUCUGCAGCCACUAGGCUCGGCGGCCGCCUCUCGGCCGGGGCCAGCUUUGUCCGGGCGAAGCAGUGUGCAGGGGCAGCGCAGUGGAAUAGAUAUUAUGUUACAUCUAUUAGCGACGCGGGCGGGGCGCGCGUUCUCCAAGCGCCGACUGAACCUUGCCUUCGCAUCUUUUCCUCCCUUUGGCCGCUCCCUCCUGCAGUCACCAUGGGCCGCGUCAUCAGGUCGCAGCGUAAGGGUCGGGGUGGGAUCUUCAAGUCCCACAACACCCACCGCAAGGGUGCCGCCCAGCACCGCGUCAUGGACUCUGCUGAGCGGAACCACUACAUCAAGGGCGUUGUCGCCGAGGUCAUCCACGACCCCGGCCGUGGCGCUCCCCUGGCUCGGGUGAGGAAAGCAGCAGGCGGCCUUCUGGCGCGGCGAUGGCGCGACUAGUUUGGCGGCUGCGGCGGUCGGCGCCGAGCUCGGGUGGUUUCUUUGCCAGCUUGUAA